AGCGAACGCUGGCGGCAGGCCUAACACAUGCAAGUCGAACGAACUCUUCGGAGUUAGUGGCGGACGGGUGAGUAACACGUGGGAACGUGCCUUUAGGUUCGGAAUAACUCAGGGAAACUUGUGCUAAUACCGAAUGUGCCCUUCGGGGGAAAGAUUUAUCGCCUUUAGAGCGGCCCGCGUCUGAUUAGCUGGUUGGUGGGGUAAUGGCCCACCAAGGCGACGAUCAGUAGCUGGUCUGAGAGGAUGACCAGCCACAUUGGGACUGAGACACGGCCCAAACUCCUACGGGAGGCAGCAGUGGGGAAUCUUGCGCAAUGGGCGAAAGCCUGACGCAGCCAUGCCGCGUGGAUGAUGAAGGUCUUAGGAUUGUAAAAUCCUUUCACCGGUGAAGAUAAUGACUGUAGCCGGAGAAGAAGCCCCGGCUAACUUCGUGCCAGCAGCCGCAGUAACAC
rnacentral:rRNA from 1 species